rnacentral:lncRNA from 1 species
AUUUUGGGCCUGUGGAUCAUGAUCUAGCUCUCAGAGCUACAGCUCUAACACCUGCCUACCUGCUGCCAUGUCCUCCACCAUGUUAAAAUGGACUCAACCUCUGAAACUGUAAGGAGACAGAGGAAGGAGUCCACAGAGGCAUCACCAAGUUUCCUGGGAAACAGUAGGUCACACAUCUCCUGGAGCUGCUUCUAGAAGACCUGACCCAGAUGGGUAGAGCUCACAUUACUGGUCUCUGUGGAAUUAGUUUUGGGAUUUAGCUUUCUGAGACAGUACCUCAAUAUAUUGUUCAGCCUGACCUCAAAUUUAUAAUCUUUCUGCCUUAGCCUCCCAAAUUCUGAGGUUACAAACAUAUAUCACCAGACCAAUGAAUAUGUGUUUCUAACACACUCAAAACAAAACUCCAAGCUGGGAGCUGAAGCAAUGGCUCAGUGGUUAAGAGUCUUUCCUGCUCUUCCAGAGGACCCAAGAUCAUGUGUAACUCUAGUCACAGGGAAUCUGACACCUUUUCUGGCCUCCUUCAGCACCAGGCACAAGUAUAUAGAUGUUCAUGUGUAUAAAACACCCAUAUGCACUAAAUAAAUAAAUUUUUAAAACUAACACACACAAAUCCUUAAGGUUGUGCAUGAACACCAAUAAUUUCAGCACUCAGGAGUCAUUGGUUCUGGGUUAGCCCGAGUUAUAUAGUGAGAUCCUCUCAACACAAACACACAAACAUUUGUGUUGGGUUUUCCUCAUGUAAUUUACUUCAUUUAUUGCACUUUUGUUCACUGCGGUCCCCUAUGACUCCUUUCAAUGCAGGUUACCAUGUUAGGUAUUUUGAGAAAGGGUAGCUGACUUCCUUUCUGAGUAGGAGCAUGAGAGAUGGAUGGGUCAGCAGGUCAGUAGGUCAGAGUUCAGAGUUGAUCACAUGCAGGUAUCUUCUGCCUUCUGAGAGAGGUGGCCUGACUGUGCCAGUUUGUGUCAUGGUCAGCAGCAUAAUCCAGGUGUCAACCAUUGAGGAAGAUAGAAACUUGGAUUGUUACUGCCUCAACUCAAGUCAAGACUCAAACCACUAACUCUUUGAAUCUGCUUGCUUGAAAUGGCAUUUAAAAUGAGACCUGCUCACGACACUCUGUCUGGCUCCUGGGCAUUUGGCUGGGUUCUCGCCUAUGUUGGUAGUACCCAGUGGUGUCAGUACACAGAACAGUUCUCAGCUCUGUAGGGAGGAGGGGGGCGAUGUUUGAGAGGGUAUUUAGUUAAGGGGGAAAUGAUGGCCUCUCGCUGGGCCUCCCAGUCUGUACGGGUUCUAACACUUCAGGGUCUUGGGAAGGUUAGAAGGUCUUUAGGUGCAGCUCCUGACCGCAGAGCCCUCAAAAAUGUCUUGUACUCAUUUAAGUGUUCAUUCCUUUGUUCUG